UGUGUGUGUUCAUAGAUACUAGAUUGGGAGGUUAAAAAAGUUAAUCAUCGGACAACCCUAGGUGUAAAAAGCUAAAUCCAUCGUAACUUCUGAACCUAGUGUUUUUCCAUCCUUAAAUAUUUUUUCAAAGCAUGUGUACACAAUGUACACAUUUGUACUGUUUUGUUGACUGUAUUUAAACAAAACUUACCAAUCUUGUGACUUUUAAUACUGUGGUUGAUAAUGUCAUGUAUGUCUUGAUUCUGUGUCUGUUGCCAUGCUGGUUGUUUCUUUUACAGAGUUGGCUGCUGCCUGCACAGAUGAUGAAAGCCUAACAACUUGGAACAUGUUUCUCGAACUCACUGCAGGCUAUCCAUGCUAUCAAGAAACUCAAUUCUUCACUCCGACCACUGUAGGUCAGCCAUGUGAUAGCAACUAUUAUCUUCAAUCUGUUAUCAAUGUGACUGCACAGUUACUCCAUAUACGGCAGGUUAUCUAUUUGUAAUCCAUCUCCGGGAUCUACCUCGGGAAGACGGCUAUGAUGAUAUGAUGAUAUAUCUAUUUGUGUUCUCACUGCUUCACUCCAACCACUGUAGGUCAUCUAUGUGACAGCAACUAUUAUCUUCAUUGGAGUUGGCUGCUGCAUGAACAGAUAAUGAAAGCCUAACAACUUGGAACAUGUCUAGAAAUUCACUGCAGGCUAUCCAUGUGACUGUCAAGGUUGUGCUAUCUAGAAACUCAAUGCAUUCACUCCAACCACUGUAGGUCAACCGUGUGAGAGCCACUAUUGUCUUCAAUGGGUAAGUCUUGAAGUUUUAUCCCAUAUCUACUAAGUUUGACCAUAGAGAAAGGCUGGGACGUAUGUAAGAACUGCAACACCAACUUUUGCAACCUUCAAUGGCCCUGUGUGCACACUGAUCGCCACAGCAAAACUUCUCUGGUAAUCGGGAAACUGACCAAUAUUGCUGCAGCGAGACCGAGAUGGUAAAACAUUUUCGGCAAAAUAAUCAACAAAUUUUGGCAAGUUUGAAGUUUUAUCCCAUAUCUAUACUCAAAUUCAACUUUACUUUGUCUCAUCAUACAAAACUUGUCCCAUUCACUAAUAAGGCCAUAUCUCUCUCCAUCAUUUUUACCUGAUCCAAUCCUUGCACACUUGCAACUGAAGUCGUUAUAUUUUUCAGUUUUAAGUUGUUCCCAGGCUGAUUUGUUGUCAUUCAUGAAAUGUCAAAGUUUGUGCCAUUCUUUGAACAAAUUGCAAAUCUAUUGGUAGUUCAACUCAAUUGUUUCAAUAGAAUAAAUUGUUCUCUCUGUGAACUUUUUUAAAACUGAAUGUUUGUGUUGAAAUUGGCAAUAUAAUCAAGGGCUGGUCGCUGGAGCCAUGCCCCUCCUGUGAUAUUUUUUUCCAGCU